rnacentral:rRNA from 1 species
GACGAACGCUGGCGGCGUGCUUAACACAUGCAAGUCGAACGGAAAGGCCCUGCUUGCAGGGUACUCGAGUGGCGAACGGGUGAGUAACACGUGGGUGAUCUGCCCUGCACUUCGGGAUAAGCUUGGGAAACUGGGUCUAAUACCGGAUAGGUGCCAUCUUUAGUGUGGUGGUUGGAAAGUUUUUUCGGUGUAGGAUGAGCUCGCGGCCUAUCAGCUUGUUGGUGGGGUAAUGGCCUACCAAGGCGGCGACGGGUAGCCGGCCUGAGAGGGUGUACGGCCACAUUGGGACUGAGAUACGGCCCAGACUCCUACGGGAGGCAGCAGUGGGGAAUAUUGCACAAUGGGCGCAAGCCUGAUGCAGCGACGCCGCGUGGGGGAUGAAGGCCUUCGGGUUGUAAACUCCUUUCGCUAGGGACGAAGCUUUUUGUGACGGUACCUAGAUAAGAAGCACCGGCUAACUACGUG